CACACACCAGCAAGCGUCCUGCUACUGCUCUUACCUUCAGCACCGACAUUGAAACAGUAAUUUCAUAAGAAAGAAGUUGUUUGUUAGUUUUUAUGUUGUUUUAAGACUUUUUUUUUAUUUGUGCUGAGGAUUCACAGGCCAUGUUGGUGUGAGCUGUGUGUUUGUAUGGGAGGCGGGUCGUUUUGCGCCUCGUCUUCGCUUUAUGUGACUUUGUAAUUUUAGAAGGUUUAGUUUGUGGUAGCAAGCAGCGGUUUCUAACGUGAAUUAAUAAUUAAUGCACUCUGUUCGUGCCGGCACGAUCCAACAGGAGCGGGGCCAGAUGGGAGACUCUCAACAUCUCCGAGAGAGUCAGCACCGUCAACCAGAAUGAAAACGGCCAUUUAAGAAGAACGGCACCGGGCGAACUUGAUUUUACUCAGUUACUGCAACUCCUAGACCCACGACCUUUGUCCUUUCACGUUACACUGUACACACCGCUGAAGGAGCAAAGCUGUCCCGUCCGACUGGCUUCGUGUUUUGCACGGAGGGGUGGUCGGAUUAGGCUUCCCUGCAGGUCCUGGCGUUCUCGCUCCCCCCGCCCCCCUGCCCGCGCGCGGCGCUCUGGGUGAAAAAGGGCGCAGCGCGAGCAGGAGGCGACAGAACUGACCCGAGCAGCGUCGCGCGCUGGCAGGACCUCGAGACGAGACGCGAGGACAAGAUCGCCCAGGCUUUGGUGAUGUACAGGCCGUGUGGGUGAGCGGAUCCCAUCUGGAGACGAUGAAUCCGAACCUCAUGAAGGAAAGUGGCACGCGCACGCAGCCCGUGUCAGAUUCCGGGCUCGUGGUGGAGUGCAGGGGUAUUCCAGACGACCUGCGCAAGAGAAUGGGGUGGAUAUUGGUGUACCGGUAUCAAAUCGUUAUUUUUUUUCUUUAUCGACUUAUACCCCUUAUCCAUGGGCUCACAAAUGUGUCACUUUGAGAAACAAAAAUUAGAAUACGCGUAGCAUAUAACACAUAUAAAAAGCACGACUAAUUAAGUGGUCGCAGAGUCACGGUUAUAAGGGAGCACACAGCAUUUGUAUGUGCAGAAGGAGGGACGUGUACGUCUCGGUAAAGAAUGGACUGGGUGAUUGUAUAAUGAUACUAUGGAUUUAAGAUAGGAGGACAUUAGAGCGCUAAUGUCCGAUUGCCUGAUGGGGACAUCAGGGCUCAAGUCAGGUCAUUGUGUCCAAGCCACUGUUUCGCCCACGUUCUCAAUGGUACUGUAAGUGCACAAUAAUACCUACCUGUAUUCAUAUUCCGUGGAUUUAUACAUUUUGACUUGUGGAGAUCUCCAUUUUCUAUGAAAAUAACGUUUUAAAUUUCAAGAUGCGAUUUUUUUUUUUUACAAUAUAACUUGAAGAAAUUUCAAUGUGAAAUGAAGAAGCGUCUUGACAGAAGCAGCCGUUCCCGCUUCAUCUGAUGAAAACGUGCCCUCUGUGACUUCAUGUUUGUCUCUAUGCGUAACCGCGGGUUUUCCUCUCCAUAACUUUAUUGUGCUGCCGCCGGAACAUACUGUAUAUGAGAAUAGCUGACACUGUUACUCACAAUGGAAAUGUCAGUGGUGCGUUGAAAAAACAAACAAGUUCCUGUCAUGAUUUGUUGGAGAGGACGAAGACCAGUUAACAGGUGGCAACUGUAAUAUACAGUAAACCAAUCACAAAAGGUGAAGCUUCAACCAACGUAGACUGAAAUCAGCGGUAUACAGUAUUUUCAUUGUUAAAUACGUCAGAAAUGCGAGUGAAUGGUAGUGGUCAGUCUUGUGUGGUCCUAAACAUUGGAGGCAUUGGGAUCUUGUGUUGCCUUCAGACACUUUUUAACGGUUUGAAGCGCGGCAGUUACCAGCUCUAAGGACCCCCGUUGCCUUCCACACACUCCUUAACAAAAAUAUGAACAGAUAACAGAGUGCCGAUGGUGUAUGUAAAACAGCCUUUCUCGGUAAUGCUAAUGGGGGGGAAAUGUAUUUUGAACACAAUAAAUAACGAUCUGUUCAUUGUUGUUCGUACAUGCAGAGGGAUUUAUGUUUUAAAAGUUGCAAGGUUAUUUUUCCUCAAACUGACACGUUUCUAAUGCCUUUCAAGAAGAACCAUCAGGUUGAAACGUCAGCACGACCUUAAUUAAUGAGGCUUUGAUGACCAUACACAAGCGGAGUCAAUCUGAAAGCAACUACAGAACUACAGAGGCUACAAAGCGUCUUUGUGUAUAAAGUGAAAAAGACGUUUGUUAUAAAACUUUUGCAGGACGAACCACUUUACGUUGACGUGCACUGUCUGUGUUUUCUUUUUUCCGAUGACACUUUGUCAGUUCUAUAAGAUAAUCCUACAUGUAUUCUAUUCCUGUCUUCCAUUACUCAGUGUAACUCAGAAAUAGUCCAACUGUGUUUCGAGAAUGGGAGGAAAUGAAACAGUGAUUGUCGAUACUAUGAACGGUAUCUUCUCCAUCUUGAAGCCUGAUCUGUUCAGGCCACAGAGGGUAAACGGGCUGGGUCAGUUCAGCACUGAGACUCGAAGCAAACUCUGCUUACUACUUUAAGUGGUGUUGCUGGACCAGCAGGUGGCGAUCUUCCCCGUGGAUCAGAUCUUCCAAACCAAUGUCCGAUGUCCUUGUGUGGCGAGUGGGGACACUGUGCUAUACGAUUUUGUGGUUGGGAUGUCAAACAGAGGUCGUGACUACUUUGUCAUUUAGGGUCCCACACGCUGUCUCUAAGAGUAGGGGGUAUAAGCACGGUUUCCACCCUGGGCCUCCCCAAUCUGAUCGGGUUGACAUUUCCCCUGAGAUAAAAAUGCUGUGUUCUCACUCCUCCACCUGCUCUGUUGUGUAACAGAGCUCCAGGCGCAGAAGGAUUCCAGGUGAGUGCUGUACGUCAGCAUGUGUACUGUACACACACACCCUUUGGGUUCGCUUAUGACGAAAACCGCUUCAUAUAAAACAUUCAAUAAAUCGCGUUUCUAAACAUGGAAUGUACUGUACAUUUUAACUUGCAUAUCAAAACUUGGUAGGAGGCAUUCUUUAAAGUAAUAAGGUGCUGUGGGCUUGAAUAAUUCACACACGCAAAGAGUUGUAUGAAAUAUGUGACAUACUGCCGUAUAGAACAUGAAACUGAUACAACACGCAAUGAAACACCUGGUGUUGUAAAAGCAAGCGCCGAUAUUUCCCGGGGUCCUGCGGGGGCCGGAGGCCGGCUGCUCACCCGGCUGGCACUAAUCAACGGCACGCGAC